AUUGAACGCUGGCGGCAUGCCUUACACAUGCAAGUCGAACGGCAGCACGGGUGCUUGCACCUGGUGGCGAGUGGCGAACGGGUGAGUAAUACAUCGGAACAUGUCCUGUAGUGGGGGAUAGCCCGGCGAAAGCCGGAUUAAUACCGCAUACGAUCUACGGAUGAAAGCGGGGGACCUUCGGGCCUCGCGCUAUAGGGUUGGCCGAUGGCUGAUUAGCUAGUUGGUGGGGUAAAGGCCUACCAAGGCGACGAUCAGUAGCUGGUCUGAGAGGACGACCAGCCACACUGGGACUUAGACACGGCCCAUACUCCUACGGGAGGCAGCAGUGGGGAAUUUUGGACAAUGGGCGAAAGCCUGAUCCAGCAAUGCCGCGUGUGUGAAGAAGGCCUUCGGGUUGUAAAGCACUUUUGUCCGGAAAGAAAUCCUUGGCCCUAAUACGGUCGGGGGAUGACGGUACCGGAAGAAUAAGCACCGGCUAACUACGUG
rnacentral:rRNA from 1 species